rnacentral:rRNA from 1 species
GACGAAUGCUGGCUGCGUGCUUAACACAUGCAAGUCGAACGGUGAAGGGGAGCUUGCUCCCCGGAUCAGUGGCGAACGGGUGAGUAACACGUGGGCAACCUGCCCCUCACCCUGGGAUAACUCCGGGAAACCGGGGCUAAUACCGGAUACGACCGGGAGCGACAUCGCUCCUGGUGGAAAGAACUUCGGUGAGGGAUGGGCCCGCGGCCUAUCAGCUAGUUGGUGGGGUAACGGCCCACCAAGGCGACGACGGGUAGCCGGCCUGAGAGGGCGACCGGCCACACUGGGACUGAGACACGGCCCAGACUCCUACGGGAGGCAGCAGUGGGGAAUAUUGCGCAAUGGGCGAAAGCCUGACGCAGCGACGCAGCGUGAGGGACGAAGGCCUUCGGGUUGCAAACCUCUUUCAGCGGGGACGAAGCGAAAGUGACGGUACCCGCAGAAGAAGCACCGGCUAACUACGUGCCAGCAGCCGCAGUAA